UGCUUCUUACUGCUACCCUGUUUCCUACUACCUCCCUCCUCUGUGCUGGGCUCUGUGGGUAAGAGGUCAAGAGAUGCAGAAGCCUAGUCUCUGAGCUGCAGAAAUAUCUUUCUUUGGGUUGGCCAAUUGCAUCUUUGCAGUUCUCUACAUCGGGUGGAUUCUCUUGAUCUGGUCUAGGUUGGAUCUCUCAAGACAUUGCCUCAUAGUCUGCCUCUGGAAAUAGAAGUCAUAGGCUUUGGAUUAAGUGUCUGACUGGGUUGCGUUCCCAGUAUCAGUGCACAUGGAUUAUAUACAAAUUGUCUUUGAUAAGAAGUGAAAGAAGAGGUGUCUACUUCCAGACUCGAACAAAAAUAGAAAGCAUAUCAGCUCUCAGCGGCUCACUUCACCUGUAUUACUCAGAUCACACAGGUAGAGGGCAUUCUCCAGCUUCCUGAACCUGUUGAUCCACAUCUCCUGUUCUUCAGACUCUUUCUUCAUCAUCAUUGGACUCACAAAAGGCUGUGAGACUGGCCUGACCUUCAGGGCUUGUAGGGGAUCAUCUGGGGCUGAAAUCUCAGCAGGACGGUGUUCUGAUGGCAGCUUCUCUUCUGGAGUUUUCUACCAAAACAACACAAGCAUUGCACUGGCAAUACAUUCACCACAAAGAACUCUUCCAGUCUCUUGGCCAAAGAUGAGGCCACACAGCUAGCAAGGUUUAUUGCAAGGUCUGGCUUUGUAAAGCUAGAGGAUGUGUUUCAAAUCCUCUGUGCCAUAGGACCAUAUCUGCCAAUUCUUGCUGGAUAUAAACUAUGUUGAGUUGGUUUUUUUUUUGGUUGUUGUUGUUAAGAGAAGGGUGGAAUCAUGCCUUUAUUCAGUUUACAUUUCUGACUUACACAAAACAAAGGUUUUUGUAACUGAGAAUUUUUAUGAUAUUCUACUCUGUUUUAUACUAGUGGGAUACACAAGAGAUAGGCUUCAGGCAAUGCUUAUAAUUUCUUUGUGGGAAACCUCUGCAUCAUGAGUGUGAGAUUCUUGACAGAAAGUGAUUGAAACAAUACUGAUAUUAUCUUAGGCUCCUGGGCCCAUUCUACUAAACCAUAAAGCACCUCUGUGGUCUGUCCAUUCUACACAUUUAACAGAGGAAGCUGCGACCCAGGGAGUGGAAGUGACUUACUAAGCUCAUACAGUCAAUGGUAGACACAAAACUAGAAGGUAAGUGUAGAGCUUAUGUCUAGUCCCUUUUGGUAUUCUAACUCCAUGUCCAGUACAGAAUAGAGGUGGUUUUAGAACAAGUGGACAAAUGAGUCCUUACUGUGCCAUGUAAGACAUUCUAUCACCUACCAUUAAGAGAGAGAGUGGGCAUCAGCUGUUUGAUCUGCCCAGCCCCACUUUUCCAGACAUUGCCCAUCCUCCCUAUCUACAUGACUGUGGAGAAAACCACCAUGUAUCUAAGGACAUGAUGCAGGACUGGCCACCUAAUGCAAAAUGGGCCAAUAAACACACUGUCCAGUGGUUUUGGAACUAUUUGUGAGAAAUAGAGACAGACAAAGAAAGAAAAAUAGAGGCCAUUCUGUGUGAGAUGUAGGAAUUCUAGCAGGUUUUCCACUCUGUGUAUUGAAAAUGAGAAAAAGAUGGUCUUCCAAGAAAGAUAGACACAUACACAGGAAGAUACAUAGAUAGAGGAUGUGAAGCUGACAGCAGAGAGAAAAGACACAGGAAGUCAUGAUGUUGUUCAAGUCCCUGACUUUAGUGUGUUGUUAUGGUUCUGACCUUAGUGUAAUAUGCUUGUCUAUCCUUCCAUUAUAUUAAAUUGGUAGAGUUGGCUCUGUUCACCACAAUGCAAAUAAUCUUAACUAAUUUGCCUUAGAAUUAUGCCUCUAACUUCUGUAUCUCUGUGGUUCCUCCAAUUUUCAAAUACCUGAAUUUCUCCAGUUUUGUACCUUUGUCUCAAACUUCUCACAUGAGUUGUGAAAAAUCCCAUAGCUCUAAAGAAUGGAAAUUGCAAUAAGACACCAAGUUUUGAGUUUGUUAACAAACACGGAUUGAGCUGCUUCUGGGAAUUGUAAAGAACUGUUUUGUUUCAAAGAAUAGAAUGCGAUAUGAAAUUGCAACCAUAUGGGUGACCAGCAACCGGUAAAUUGCAAGAGAUUAAUAUAAAAGAAUUCCACAUUGAUAAAAUCAAUCUUGAGAAACAGAUAAAGUUUUCAUAAAGUAAAUAAAUAGGAUUAUUAUACUUUUUAGAGAUUUGGACCCCUUUAGAAAUCUGAUGAAUACUUUAGAUAAUCUACCCAGCUAAAUGCACACUUGCAUAGAGUUUGGUGGAUGACUUUAGAGAAUUUAAAAGAGGUCCUUGGAUCUGAGAAGCUGAUUUUAAAUAACUUUGUAUUCCUUCAGAUAGUUUAACAUUCUCUUUGAUCACUAAAGGCAGGGAAAGGGAGGAUUUGUAUAGACCUGAAUUAGGCUCAACUAAGUAAGUAGGUGACACACCCUAUAUUGUUUUAGUCCCGCUGUAGAUGUAACAGGGUAAAGUCCAAAUUCCUUACCUGGCACAUAAGAUCAUUCAAGUUUUUGUUCUUUUUCUUCUUUCAAAUUCUAUGUAUGCACCCUUUUUCUCUCAUUUUUUCCAGCCUCAUAAAAUGAAGCUGUAUAAUGCCUUUAUGCUUUAUACAUGCUAUUCCCUCUGUUGUGAGAGCCCUUCUUAUCACUCAUGCCUUGAUUGGUUGGGCUUCUACUCAUGCUUCAAGACCCAAUUCAUAUUUCACUUCUUGUGGGCAGCCUUCCCCAAAGCCCCAGGGUGGGUGACGGGUGAUUCUUUGCAGCCCUUUUAUCCAUCGCAGCACUUAUUAGAGGAUAUUGUAACUGUUACAGCAUCUCUCUUCUCUACCAGGGGUCUAGAGACUGGGCCUAUGAGGUGGUCAUUUGUAAACCUUCAAGGUCUGGUUAGUGACCGGCACAGGGUGGUUUUGAAGACAUGUUUACUGAAUGAAUAUGGGAAUGAAUAAAUGAUUUUCUCUGGGAAAAGAGGAAAUGUGUCUUACCAAACUUCUGCUUCAAUUUCUCUCUCUAAA